UAUGUGGAUGUUGACCUGGCAGAUGUCCUGAAGGAAGUGCAGUGUCCUAUAUGUCUAGGAAUUAUAAGGAAAACACGGACAGUGAUGGAAUGCCUCCACCGAUUCUGUCGGGAAUGUAUUGAUAAGUCAAUGCGGUUGGGGAACAAUGAGUGUCCUGCUUGCAGGAAGCAUUGUGCAAGCCGUCGUUCUUUAAGAGACGAUCCAAAAUUUGAUGCUCUUAUUGCGGCUUUAUUUACCAAUAUUGAUAAAUAUGAGGAGGAGGAGCUGGCUUUUCAUGAAGAGGAGAAGGCUCGUAAUAAGCAGAUUCAAGCAUCUAUAGCUCAAAUAUCUCAAAGACAAUCUGAUGCCCUUGUGAAAAGACGAUCUUUCGGUAAAGAGGCAGCAAUUUUGUCUAGGUCACAACGUAUUGGUAAUGGUUCUAGGAGGAGAAGAAACUGCAGAAACAUAGAUCAUCACAUUUCAGAAGCCCAUGACGAGGAUGAUGAUGAUGAUAAUGAUAAUGCCAGAGCCAAAGAUUCAUCAUCAGAUGAGUGUUGUGCAGAAGUCAGGCCUAGAAAACGAAGAAAACGCUCUGGAAAUCGUCCAACCCACCCUUCUACAUCCGGAGCAAACAACAACAGUAACAGCACCGAUAAUGGCAUGGAAGGUUUCAGGGACAGCAGAGGAGUAUCUCCAGGCCUUGUAUGGAACCCAGAGAUAUUUGCUUGGGGUAGGGGUGGUGCAAGGAGUAGCUCCAGGCACAGUAAUGGCCUGGGAGGCAGUAAUAAGAGCGUGAGGAAUGCUCGCUUGAAUAGACUCGUUGAAUAUCUCCGGAGCUUAGAUGGAAAUAGCGUUGAGUUAGAUAUUCAUCUCAAGCUUGUCUCUUUGGAUACAAAAUAUGCACCAAAUUUGCAGCAGCCGCACCUCUGCUGCCGACCCACUUUACUGGUUAGGCAGCUCCGUGAAUUUGUCGCACUCCAGACACACUUGAAGGUUGAAGAGAUUGAAUUGUUGAUAGCAAGAGGAGAGGAUAAGGAAAUGGAUGACCUGUCUUCUUCAGCAUCAACGGACGGUAUGCAAAGUCUGGAAGAUGAUGAUGAAGCAACUCUGGCAAGGCUUAAAGUAGACUAUGUUCUGGGUCCUGAACAUUUGAUCAUAGCGUUCAGGCAGAAGCUUCCUUUGUAAAGAAGGUGGAGCUUUGCACGCAUGGACUUGCAGAUAACACGUUCCAUCACCAAAAAUCGCCACAAGAACAAGCUCCGUUCCAGAAAUGGUGGAACCUCAUGUUCUUCAUUAUCCGUAUCGGCGAAUCACCGCUUGUCGUCAGCAAGGAGAACGCUAAAGCCAGUUUCUCGCUGUGCAUCACCAGAAUCC